CCCUGUCUUUUCAUUUUCUGCAUAAUGUCCUUUGAUGCACCAAAGUUCUUAAUAUUGAUGAAGUCAGAUUUAUCUAUUUUUCUUUUGUUGCUUAUGUCAUGUCUAAAGCUCUAUCACUACAUCCAAGGUCAUGAAGAUUUACCCCUAUGUUGUCUUUGAAGAAUUUUAUAGUUUCCCCUCUUCUGUUUAGCUCAUCGAUCCAGCUGAAGUUACCUUGUGUGUAUGGUGUGAUGUACUUCAUUCUUCUGCAUGUGGAAAACCAGUCAUGCCAGCACCAUCUGUUGAACAAUCUCUUCCUCCCCAGUGAAAGAACUUGGCACCCUUGUCAGAAAUGAGCUGGCCAUGCAAACUUGAGUCUAUCUCUUGGCUCCAAUAUUAC